GAAAGUAUGAGAAUGGAUAGAAGAAACAAUGUGAGAGGACGAGGACGAGGACGUAUGCAAGGUGGGUGACGAUGAGGAGGAGGGCAAGAAAGAGGAAGAGGAGGAAGAAGAGGAAGACAAAGAGUGGAAAUAUCUGAUGAAAUUUGAGCAACAGUUAUAGACCAUGUUCUUGUCCAUGGACUGACAAUGAGGGAACUUAGAGUGCAGGACUUAGAGUGCAACCCAAUUUGAGCUGAUUAUCCAUGUCCACCAUAGUAAGGACAUUCAGAGAAGAGAACAGAAUUGCAAGGCUGCCACAUGCAGAUGGAAGGACAGCUAUAUUCACUCGGGAGCAAGAGGCCGUUAUAGUUGGCAUGGUCCUUCAAGAUAAUGCAAUACGACUCAGAGAAAUCCAGGAACGAGUGAUACAAGACAACUCAGUAUGUCCAAACAAUAUUUGACAUGGAAUCCUUGGACAGACCCCAUGAGUUCAUCUUUGUCGAUGAAGCAGGCUUCAAUCUAACAAAGAGGAGAAGGAGAGGCCGAAACAUGAUUGGACAGCGGGCCAUUGUUGAAGUCCCUGGUCAACGAGGUGGCAAUGUCACAAUCUGUGCUGCUAUCAGCAACCAUGGUGUUCUACAUCACCAUGUUACACUCGGGCCAUAUAACACCCAGCACCUUCUAAGAUUUAUUGCCAAUCUAAGAUCUAUUUUAUUUGAGCAGCAGGUUCAAUAGCAGCAGGGUCAAGAGCUAAAUGAGAAUCCCAUUCCCACCUAUGUGAUAGUGUGGGACAAUGUCAGUUUCCACCGAGCUGCUCAGGUAAGGGAAUGGUUUAACAUCAAUGGGCAGUUUAUGAACUUGUACCUCCCUCCAUACACUCCUUUCCUGAAUCCGAUUGAGUAGUUUUUCUCCUCUUAGAGAUGGAAAGUGUAUGAUCGACAACCCUACAGCAGAGUAAAUCUGCUGCAAGCCACGGAUUUAGCCUGUGGUGAUAUACAGUGGGGCAAAAAAGUAUUUGGUCAGCCACCAAUUGUGCAAGUUCUCCCACUUAAGAAGAUGAGAGGCCUGUAAUUUUCAUCAUCGGUACACUUAAACUAUGACAG